GAAGAAGAAUGUUGCACCUCUCAUCUAAAUUUAGAUUUCCCCCGAGCAGUCAUCAUGAGAGGGUAGUACGUCGAGGACACGGCCGCCAUCGUCAACAGCUGCAAAUAUAUUCGCCGACGUCUCAAGUCUGUACUUGCUUCUGAAGGAGAUCAUACAAAAUGAAAAGUACAUCUAAAUAUGAUCCUCACGCUGAAGAUCAAUCAAAAGAAAAUCGAACUUCUGUAGAUAUUCUUAAGACAUUUAAAUGUCCGAAGGACUGAUGGACUCGUCCUAUGACUGAACUGGGAUAUUAGACUUCCAAAGUUCCUUCACCUAUGAACAUAUGUAUUCAAAGUCCUCCAAAUCAAAGGAUCAACUAUUUUAUAAUGAAUUUAUAAAUCUAUAUAUUGAA
rnacentral:lncRNA from 1 species